rnacentral:rRNA from 1 species
UGGGGAAUAUUGCACAAUGGAGGGAACUCUGAUGCAGCGACGCCGCGUGAACGAAGAAGGCUUUCGAGUCGUAAAGUUCUUUUAUAGGGGAAGAUAAUGACGGUACCAUAAGAAAAAGCCCCGGCUAACUACGUGCCAGCAGCCGCGGUAAUACGUAGGGGGCUAGCGUUGUCCGGAAUCACUGGGCGUAAAGGGUUCGCAGGCGGAAAUGCAAGUCAGGUGUAAAAGGCAGUAGCUUAACUACUGUAAGCAUUUGAAACUGCAUAUCUUGAGAAGAGUAGAGGUAAGUGGAAUUUUUAGUGUAGCGUUGGAAUGCGUAGAUAUUAAAAAGAAUACCGGUGGCGAAGGCGACUUACUGGGCUCAUUCUGACGCUGAGGAACGAAAGCGUGGGUAGCAAACAGG